GUGUAGCAUACGCGACGGGCCUUACCGGUAUGCGUAAUUCGGUAUCAUAUCUCAGGAGAUGCAAGGGGAAAAUUCGGCGCUGCUAUUGGCUCAACGCAACCACGUUAUCUAAACGAACUUUUGGUAUUUUUGUUUGUUUUUGUUUUUUAAUACAAGAUGGCGGCGGACAUAGACGUUAGCAGAACACUAGUUUUGCUAUACGCCGUUGAAACUUGUUGAAGCCGUACGCCGUAGAAAUCGCACCGAAACGUGUGGGCUUUUCGCUGACGUUGUCGCUGAAACGAGUUGUGUUCUUACGCAGCUGGUGUGCUCCGAUUUUUUUUAUUUAUUACGCUUUCGUGUGAGCUGCCGGCCGGCGAAGAAGACGCGCCACUUGGUCUACUCCGGAUGUCAGCUGUUUUAAGUGACCUGCCUCAACAUGCAGCUUGACCAAGAUGAACCGACACCAACUGGCCAAAAUUUCUACCCUGCUCCAGCACCUUCAGUGGCACUGUCAGGCACACUAUACUAAAUUCCGUGUUCUUCUGUGCAUAGAAGAGAGCCAGGACACUCCACUGGAAAUGCCAUUUAACAUUAGAUUGGAGAAAAUACUGUGAUGUAACAUGAAGCCCCCCCCCCCCCCCCCCGAGUGUCUUGAUGCUUUUUCCCCAAUUGUAAGAAAUGAUGACCUCACACUUACCAGUUUUCAUUAGAAUGAAUUUAAUUUAUUUUUCAUUUACUGAGAGCAAACAAACUUGUUCAAAGUCUAGUUUGUUUCGGGACUCAUUUGUAUUGCUUUGCCCAACAGCCACCAUUAUUCACAACAAAGAUACUACGACAUGAACUGGUCCCACCCAUCAAAAUGUGUCAGUUAUUUAGCAACCACACCAGAUAUACUUUUGUAAUAAGAGCAUGGGGUUUACAAAAAGACAAAAGUACAUGAUUCUGCACGUGAAGAUACGCUAGCUGACCUUAGAGUCGCUGAAAAGUAAGUUUUGUCUUUUGAGACAUAGGAGAACUUAGAAACACAAUUUCUUCAGUAAAUUUAUGUAUGUAUGUGAAUUUAAAAGUAUAAAUGGCUUAUGAAAGCUUUGUUUCUUUAUUAAAAUGCUCUUAGCUUAAUGCUUAACAUUUUACCUGGUAAGGGCUCCCAAGAAAGAUAGGAAGUCAUGAAUGACUUACAAUUUAUUCAAACGUUUCAUAAGAAUGCUUUCAUAUUCCAUAGUUCUUAGGAAAAAGACUUGAGCAGCAUUUUAGCACUGAAGCAAUAGAGAUAUGAUUAAGUGCUUGAACUGAAAUGAAAAUGCAUAGGUUAAAACUUUACCAUUGGUUUAUAGUUAUCACAAGCGUAAAGUUAAAAUAUGCGAUAUGCAAACACGGACACAUGAGAUAUGCGCAGGCAAGUUCGAAUGUCUGCUUUCUUUUCUUCUGCUGUGCAUCUUUUAAGUUGUUAGUCGGCACUUGCGCACCUUUAUUUCUCUCUAGUGUCCAUGUUUACAUGCCCCGCCUCUUAACAGGAAGACAAACCAACUAGCUCAGCUCUGUUAUUGUAGUGCUUAUUCCGACUUAUCUCUCCUGAAAUAAUAUUGUCCAGUUCAUUACAGGUAACAUAAAUGCAAAUAUCUGGAAGCAUUCUUAAUACAUACUGAUUGUUCAUCAUGUCAUGGAAAUUAUAGAGCACCUUGUUAUCUGUGUAAGAUACAAAUGCCUUUUAAAAACCCCUUCAUAUAUAUAUGUCUCUUAAGACACUGGUUAGUGCGAAGUAAUGUCAAAUGUAUCGUAAUUUAUUUAAUGGAGAGCUUACCUGACCUGUUAAUCAUCUUGGUUCAUUUUGUUCAAAAAUUGUGAACAUUUUUUUGAAAGAAAUUAUUAUAGCAUAUGUAUAACUUAUUACCUACUUUGAAAACAGGUGCUUUUUUUACAAUAACAGAUGGUAAUAGCUUACUGAAGCAACUUCAGUGACCUUUUGUCCUGGGUCAUGAAGCUGUUUUACGUUAACAGCACAUCUUUAAUGAAGUAUUGAGCCUUUAGUAAAUAAUAUUGUACUAGCAAUCUACGUAGUGGUGUAAUAAGCUAGCCUGAUAAAAAACUAGACGCAGUAUGCAAUUGAAUAGGAAAUCUGAUAUGGAGAAAAAUAGCAGAAAGUUUACAUGUCAAAGAGGCUCUAGGUCUCGCGUUAAGAAAUCUAUGUGCUGUCAUUUGUUUCUAGUUAAGGAAUGGGUCCUGUUGGGCAAGUAAUAAUUGCAUCUGAAUAAACAGUGUACUUUUCUGUUA
rnacentral:lncRNA from 1 species